rnacentral:rRNA from 1 species
UACAGAGGGUGCAAGCGUUGUUCGGAAUUAUUGGGCGUAAAGGGCGCGUAGGCGGUGCGGUAAGUCUGUAGUGAAAUCUCUGGGCUCAACUCAGAGUCUGCUGCAGAAACUGCCGUGCUUGAGUGUGGGAGAGGUGAGUGGAAUUCCCGGUGUAGCGGUGAAAUGCGUAGAUAUCGGGGAGGAACACCAGUGGCGAAGGCGGCUCACUGGCCCGAUACUGACGCUGAGGCACGAAAGCGUGGGGGAGCAAACAGG